GACGGAGGGUGCUAGCGUUGUUCGGAAUGACUGGGCGUAAAGGGCGCGUAGGCGGCUCGUGAAGUCGGGUGUGAAAGCCCGGGGCUCAACCCCGGAACGGCAUCCGAUACUGGCGGGCUUGAGACCGGGAGAGGAGGGUGGAAUACCCAGUGUAGAGGUGAAAUUCGUAGAUAUUGGGAAGAACACCGGUGGCGAAGGCGGCGACCUGGUCCGUUACUGACGCUGAGGCGCGACAGCGUGGGGAGCAAACAGG
rnacentral:rRNA from 1 species